CACCAAUUCAUAUGCGGAAAACGUAAUAAGAUUUAAAAAUUUUAAAUUGUUUAAAUCAACUUAUUAAGAAAGUUUUACAUUUUCUUCUAGACCUAGGAUGUCUUUGCAUGUCCUGGUGUUAUCUUCGGUACUGAGAUCGAAAGUUAUUUGGAUCUUAAACGAUAGUCAUGACGAUUGCUUUUCCUUUUUAACAAGGUAAGUAACCCAAUGGAGCU
rnacentral:snRNA from 1 species